rnacentral:rRNA from 1 species
GACGAACGCUGGCGGCGUGCUUAACACAUGCAAGUCGAACGGAAAGGCCCCUCUGGGGUUACUCGCGUGGCGAACGGGUGAGUAACACGUGCGUAAGCUGCCCUCGACUUCCUGAUAACUUCCUUCAACUAGCGCUAAUACCUGAUAGGUAUCCUCUCUUCCUGGUUGGGGUUGGAAAGCUUCGUCCGGUUGGGGUGGACUCGCUGCCUAUCCGCUUGCUGGUGGGGUGGUGGGUUACCUAGGCAUUGAUGGGUAGGCGGCCUGAGGGGGGGAACGGCCACAAUGGGACUGAGAUACGGCCCAGAAUCCUACGGGAGGGAGCAGGGGGGAAUAUUGGAAAAUGGGGGGAAGCCUGAUGCAGGAAAGCCGCGUGCAGGAUGACGGGCUUCGGGUUGUAAACCGCUUUCAGCAGGGGAGAAGCUUGUGGUGACGGUACCUGGAGAAGAAGCACCGGCUAACUACGUG